CAUAUACUCCCUCCGUCGGGAAAUACUUGUCAUAGAAAUGAAUAAAAAUUGAUGUAUGUAGAACUAAAAUACAUCUAGAUAUAUCCAUUUCUCCGACAAGUAUUUCCGGGCGGAGGGAGUACUUC
rnacentral:pre_miRNA from 1 species